UUUAGUUUUUUGACGUCUUUUUAAAAAAAAUUUUGCGAUUAAUAUUUUAUUUUUACUAGCUGAUAAAACAUGAAUAAUACUUUAUGCGUGACUAAUUUUUUUAAGUUUUUGUACAAAUUUUUCAAAUAAGACGAAUGGUCAAACGUUGGACACGGAAA
rnacentral:pre_miRNA from 1 species